CAUCAUAGCUGAAGGCUUGAUCCUGGGGUUUUUUGCACCCUGUGCCCCUAGGAAGAGCUGCGCGCCUGCUGUCAUCGCGCCACACAGAAAUGCUGGCAUUCUGCAUACCACUUGCUCAAUGCAAAGGUGCAAAGGGCAGCAGGAGAGAAACCAGGUUUAAACGCAUGAGGCCAGCAAGUAAGGUGCCAUUCAAGGAGCCAGGUGGAUCUUCUUGGGAAGCCGAUGUUCCUGGCUUCCGCCUCCAGUUGCUGGAAUAGAAGGAGGAGCAUUGCAACAAAUAACCUGUUUCCACUUGUCCAAAGG